AAUAUUGCACAAUGGGCGAAAGCCUGAUGCAGCGACGCCGCGUGAGGGAUGACGGCCUUCGGGUUGUAAACCUCUUUCAGUAGGGAAGAAGCCUUUCGGGGUGACGGUACCUGCAGAAGAAGCGCCGGCUAACUACGUGCCAGCAGCCGCGGUAAUACGUAGGGCGCAAGCGUUGUCCGGAAUUAUUGGGCGUAAAGAGCUCGUAGGCGGCUUGUCGCGUCUGCUGUGAAAACGCAAGGCUUAACCUUGCGCCUGCAGUGGGUACGGGCAGGCUAGAGUGCGGUAGGGGAGACUGGAAUUCCUGGUGUAGCGGUGGAAUGCGCAGAUAUCAGGAGGAACACCGGUGGCGAAGGCGGGUCUCUGGGCCGUUACUGACGCUGAGGAGCGAAAGCAUGGGGAGCGAACAG
rnacentral:rRNA from 1 species